rnacentral:rRNA from 1 species
UACGGGGGGAGCAAGCGUUGUUCGGAUUUACUGGGCGUAAAGGGCGCGUAGGCGGUCGUGACAAGUCACUUGUGAAAUCUCCGGGCUUAACUCGGAACGGUCAAGUGAUACUGUCGGACUAGAGUACAGAAGGGGCAACUGGAAUUCUCGGUGUAGCGGUGAAAUGCGUAGAUAUCAAGAGGAACACCUGCGGCGAAGGCGGGUUGCUGGGCCGACACUGACGCUGAGGCGCGAAAGCGUGGGGGAGCGAACAGG